rnacentral:rRNA from 1 species
CAGCGCUGCUUUAAAUGCAAGUCGAACGGUAACAGGUCUUCGGAUGCUGACGAGUGGCGAACGGGUGAGUAAUACAUCGGAACGUGCCUAGUAGUUGGGGAUAACUACUCGAAAGAGUAGCUAAUACCGCAUGAGAUCUACGGAUGAAAGCAGGGGACCUUCGGGCCUUGUGCUACUAGAGCGGCUGAUGGCAGAUUAGGUAGUUGGUGGGGUAAAGGCUUACCAAGCCUGCGAUCUGUAGCUGGUCUGAGAGGACGACCAGCCACACUGGGACUGAGACACGGCCCAGACUCCUACGGGAGGCAGCAGUGGGGAAUUUUGGACAAUGGGCGAAAGCCUGAUCCAGCAAUGCCGCGUGCAGGAUGAAGGCCCUCGGGUUGUAAACUGCUUUUGUACGGAACGAAAAGCCUGGGGCUAAUAUCCCCGGGUCAUGACGGUACCGUAAGAAUAAGCACCGGCUAACUACGUGCCAGCAGCCGCGGUAAUACGUAGGGUGCAAGCGUUAAUCGGAAUUACUGGGCGUAAAGCGUGCGCAGGCGGUUUUGUAAGACAGUGGUGAAAUCCCCGGGCUCAACCUGGGAACUGCCAUUGUGACUGCAAGGCUAGAGUGCGGCAGAGGGGGAUGGAAUUCCGCGUGUAGCAGUGAAAUGCGUAGAUAUGCGGAGGAACACCGAUGGCGAAGGCAAUCCCCUGGGCCUGCACUGACGCUCAUGCACGAAAGCGUGUGGAGCAAACAGGAUUAGAUACCCUGGUAGUCCACGCCCUAAACGAUGUCAACUGGGUUUGUUGGGUCUUAACUGACUCAGUAACGAAGCUAACG